rnacentral:tRNA from 1 species
CAGGUUAAACUUAAAGAUAGGAUUUUCAUUUACAUUGAAAUUUAUUAUUGUGCAAUUCAAUAUAAUCUGA